rfam:Heligmosomoides polygyrus genome assembly, scaffold: HPBE_scaffold0003537
GCGCCGGUGGUGUAAAGGCGGAGAGCAUUCCCGCCCGGUCAAAGGGAGGUGCGGGUUCGAGUCCCGCCUGGCGCU